GAUGAACGCUAGCGAUAGGCUUAACACAUGCAAGUCGAGGGGCAGCAUUAUCUUAGCUUGCUAAGAUAGAUGGCGACCGGCGCACGGGUGCGUAACGCGUAUGCAACCUGCCUGUAAUUAGGGAAUAACCCGGUGAAAGUCGGACUAAUACCCUAUAUUCUUCUUUCUCCGCAUGGGGGAGGACGGAAAGAUUUAUUGAUUACAGAUGGGCAUGCGUCCCAUUAGCUCGUUGGUAAGGUAACGGCUUACCAAGGCAACGAUGGGUAGGGGGACUGAGAGGUUGACCCCCCACACUGGUACUGAGACACGGACCAGACUCCUACGGGAGGCAGCAGUGAGGAAUAUUGGUCAAUGGGCGAGAGCCUGAACCAGCCAAGUCGCGUGAAGGACGACGGUUCUAUGGAUUGUAAACUUCUUUUGUAGAGGAAUAAUGGCAGCUACGCGUAGCUGAGAUGCAUGUACUCUACGAAUA
rnacentral:rRNA from 1 species